ACUAGUUUUAUGACCACUAUGAUAGGUACAACUGAUGUCUAUGAAUGAUUUAUCAAUUAUUGAACUGAUUCAU
rfam:Drosophila mojavensis strain TSC#15081-1352.22 Ctg01_10722, whole genome shotgun sequence.